rnacentral:rRNA from 1 species
UACGGAGGGGGCUAGCGUUGUUCGGAAUCACUGGGCUUAAAGGGCGCGUAGGCGGCUUGCCAAGUCAGGGGUGAAAUCCUGCAGCUUAACUGUAGAAGGGCCUUUGAUACUGGCGAGCUCGAGGGAGGUAGGGGUAUGUGGAACUUCCGGUGGAGCGGUGAAAUGCGUUGAUAUCGGAAGGAACGCCGGUGGCGAAAGCGACGUACUGGACCUCUUCUGACGCUGAGGCGCGAAAGCUAGGGGAGCAAACGGG